ensembl:miRNA aca-mir-5408b aca-mir-5408b
UCCGGGCCUUUCGGACCACAACUCCCACAAUCCUUUGUCAUAGGCUCGACUGGCUGGGGAUUCUGGGAGUUGGAGUCCCAGGGGCCUCAA